rnacentral:piRNA from 1 species
UAUGCGAGAUGUCACCACAUCAGUCAAGGC